GAUAUAGGAAAAAAGGAACAAGAGACGAAGAGACAGUGCCCACCCUCAGAGUCAUAAUCCAUUUGUGCAUGUUUGGGAGGAAGACAGAGAAAGAAACUUCCAAAUGCAUUACUGUAUGACAGCAAACCAAGAAGCUGAAUGAAGGAAAUUGCAUCCAUUCUCCAUGAUGGCUGGAGAAGGUGUGGAAGAGGUAAGCCACAUGUGCAUAGAAUCUUUUUGAAGCAUAAACAUUUGGAUACAUCUAAGAUUUGGAACAAUCUUCACCAUGAUCAGGCAAUAGCUUAUAUUGCAGUAUCCCCUACUUUGCCUAACAAUGUAAUGUGUUCACUCUGUUUUACAAUUAAUUUCUAAUGAGUUUACACUUAUAUAUCUUCUUCGUGUCUUAAAGUAAAUUUCAAAUAAAGGGAUGUCAAGCAUCAGAAUAGAGGGGUAGAGGUAUACAUAUAUUCUGUUAUAUAUUGCAAUUAUCUCCCUGAUAUUGAUGUAAGUAAUCACCACCUACCUCUAUUCUGACAUUGCUAUAAAUCACAAACCUUGGCAAAUUUUAUAGCUGCCACCUUUGUCUGCUCCUAUACUCUUAAAUCUAUCCAGUCCACCUAUGCAUGAAGUGGGAGGAAGAAAACCACCACAAACUAAACUUACAUCUCCAGCUUGACAUCAGGAAGUUCCAGACCCCCUCAGUAUCUACUGUAUAGGUUCAUGCUCUGAUCAAGUUCUGCGGCAUAACAAAUUCUUGAGCUCUGAGAGUUCUCUCUCACUUCUAGAAUUCAUCUUGCUGUAGAUUGGCAGUAGAAUUUAACUCCUGCAUCUUAAACAUGCUACUUUUUGCAGGACAUAGUUAGAGCUCACACUCUUUCUCUUCUUUUAGAUAUUUUAGUCAAUCAACUAUCUUCAACAAAUAUGAAGAAUGGCUGUUUUUCAGAUAGCUUCUGCUUAAUUUAGGUUCCCAGAAAUAAAUAUUGAGAUGGA